GUUCUCGAUAUGACUAUCUUACUUUUAAGUGUCCAAAUUACUACUAAUGGGAGUUAAUUGCAGAAAUAACCUUUCUCGAAAACUUUGGCCAAAAUGCUUUACAUUCUUUUUGAUAGUGUUGUUAAGAGUGCUGUAUAGGUGCCUAGGCGGUCUACCUAUGCACUUGUAAAGCAUAGAUUACUUACAUAGCAGCAUAGUAGACUUAUACUAGAAGAAAAAAUAACUUUUUUUUGAUUUGUACUUUCUUUCCUUACCUUAUUUCACUAUUAUACUGAAAUAAUUUUUUAUUUUACAUAAAUUGAAAGUGAAAAUACAUAACUUACAAGAUGCUUUUACUUUGCUUAUUCCUUUCCCUAUUUCUUCUUACCUCGAAACCUCCUCCUUCGCAUAUGUAUCACCAACUGGAGGCUCUUAUGAAGCUUUCCAAUACCUAUUCUACUACUAGCAAGCCUUCAAUAUGCUGCCUAGUUGUUCAAUGGCCCACUCUCAUGUCAUUCCUCU
rnacentral:lncRNA from 1 species